rnacentral:rRNA from 1 species
CGGCACGGGUGAGUAACGCGUAUGCGACCUGCCCGUUGCAGGGGGAUAAUCGGGAGAAAUCCCGUCUAAUACCGCGUAACGCCGCGGGGCUGCAUGGCCCUGCGGCCAAAGGGAGCGAUUCCGGCAACGGAUGGGCAUGCGUGACAUUAGCUAGUUGGCGGGGCAACGGCCCACCAAGGCGACGAUGUCUAGGGGUUCUGAGAGGAAGGUCCCCCCACACUGGUACUGAGACACGGACCAGACUCCUACGGGAGGCAGCAG